GCUUAACACAUGCAAGUCGAGGGGCAUCACAGAGAUAGCUUGCUAUCUUGGGUGGCGACCGGCGCACGGGUGAGUAACGCGUAUCCAACCUGCCCAUUACUCUGGGAUAGCCUUGCGAAAGUAAGAUUAAUACCGGAUGUUGCUAAAAACCCGCAUGAGUUUUUAACCAAAGAUUUAUUGGUAAUGGAUGGGGAUGCGUGACAUUAGGUAGUUGGUGAGGUAACGGCUCACCAAGCCCACGAUGUCUAGGGGUUCUGAGAGGAAGGUCCCCCACACUGGAACUGAGACACGGUCCAGACUCCUACGGGAGGCAGCAGUGAGGAAUAUUGGUCAAUGGACGAGAGUCUGAACCAGCCAAGUAGCGUGCAGGAUGACGGCCCUCUGGGUUGUAAACUGCUUUUAGUUGGGAAUAAAAAGAGGGACGUGUCCCGUUUUGUAUGUACCAUCAGAAAAAGGACCGGCUAAUUCCGUGCCAGCAGCCGCGGUAAUACGGAAGGUCCGGGCGUUAUCCGGAUUUAUUGGGUUUAAAGGGAGCGUAGGCGGAUUAUUAAGUCAGCUGUGAAAGUUUGCGGCUCAACCGUAAAAUUGCAGUUGAUACUGAUAGUCUUGAGUGCACACAGGGAUGCUGGAAUUCGUGGUGUAGCGGUGAAAUGCUUAGAUAUCACGAA
rnacentral:rRNA from 1 species